GUGCAGACCAUAUAUUGGGUACAGUUUCAGGUCUUUUCCUUCAUAAAUCCCAUGCGUUAAAGUAGUUACAGGCGUGGUCUUUUAUCCACAAAGGCCGCAUUUUUAAAGCGAUUUUCUUUUUAGUUUGAGCGUUUAGGGACCUGGUCUGUGAGUCGUACAGACACUCGACUUCUCCAUAAUGUAUCUGAAAUGCUUAGUGAUCUCUCAGGUUCUGCUUGUUUUGGUGUUGGAGAACAGCUGGGCGCUCUCUUGUAUAGCCUGCAACUACUUUAACUGCCUAGCGGUGUCCGACUGUCCUGGAAAAAAGGUUUUGGACCCUUGUGGCUGUUGUCAUGAGUGUGCUAAGCAGAAGAACGAGGUUUGUGGCGGACCGUACGACGUGUACGGAACGUGCGACAAGGGACUACAAUGCGCGGGGAACAUACUAAAAGGAAUUUGUGUCGAAAAGAAAGUUGCAAAAAAAAAGGUUGGUCAUUCUUCUACACACACACAAAAAAAAAAAAAAACGUGCGAAGAGGCGAAGACACAGAGGACGUAAGCAUGGUGUCCACUCCAUACGCACGCAGACGGCUCCCCGACGAGAAGAGAGGAGCGGUGAUGCGAUUAUUACACAAGGGGGCGCAAGUGAACCGGGUGACCUCUUCAAAUGAGCGUUCUUCCUUCUCUUUAUCUCUUUAUCUCUUUAUCAGGAGACCUUUUUAAGACAGUGUGUAUUAUGUAUUUAAUUGAGCCUAUUUUUGUAUUAUUAAUUCAACUAUAUGCAUAUUACACUAUUACACUAUAUGUCUUCCCUAAUAGUGCCCUAUUCAGAUACUGUAUGAUUAUUGCAUGAUUCUGAAUGGUGUUCUGUAUGGUGAACUAUAUGAGUUAGUUAUAAUAACGCUACGUGGUUUUCCUGUUUUCUUUUCUCGAAUGGGAGAUUUGAUUAUUGUAAACCUCGCAGUACAUAUUUACACAUGGUUAUUAUGUUGCUUUGUCUGUCUACAGUUAUUUAUAGACUAUAUGUUUUAAAUAUCUCUGUUAAAUAUACAUUUUCUUGAAUUAGAAAACGGCAAAAAUGUUUAAUUGAUGAAGCCUAUAAUUUUCAAACAUCUAAAAUAUAACAAAUUUAUCAGACCUGCAUCUACUCAUCAGUAAAUAUCGCCAUCUACUGGCCGCUUUUUGCCUCUUAGGUAGCGUUUGAAAAAAAGAAAAAGCGAAUAAGAAACUGGCAAAUAAGGAGCCGACUUCAGGCUCGUUCCUAUCAAAGGGGGCGAGUGUUUGGGUCUUGCAUCAUUCGUAAACAAGCACAGAUGGCGACUGUUACUAGAACAUGCGUUUAUUAAUACAUCCACAUUGUCUACCAAACAUUACUUGUUAAUGACUGUAAUUAUAGGCUGCAUGUCCAUUUGGAAACUCCAUGUCCAUUUGGAAAUAGCUAAAUGUUCUUGGUCGCUAAGCAACGGACCACAAUAGAAGGGGCGUGUACGCAAUUAAUUACACCAAUACCAUCUCCAUCUGGAUUAUAAUUCUAAAAGAAGUCAACUUAAAUGAGAAAUAAAUUAGGUAAAUAAACGUUAACACUAUCUAAUUUAAUUGUGUGUGCGUGUGUGUGUGUGUGUGUGUGUGUGUGUGUGUGUGUGUGUGUGUGUGUGUGUGUGUGUGUGUGUGUGUGUGUGUGUGUUUGUUUGUGUGUGUGUGUUAUAGCUCUUGUAAGUGUUAGGAUACAGUGCUAGUAUAACCAUUCUUUGUUACAUCUGUCAUAAAAAAAAUUAAAUGCAUUUAGUAUAAAUGUAUCACAGUAGAUUAUAUUUUUCAUAAAGCCAAAGGAGCUCAUUAGCAUCCAAAAAUGAAAACGAGAAAUAAUUGUAUCCCAAAAACUGUACACAGGAGCAGAAGCUAUUCAUAAACUAAGAAUAGAAGAAUCAUCAGAUAUAAACCACCAAGGGUGUCAUUAUAUCCCCACUAUCCAUACCUCCACUAUCCAGUGCUGCCAAAUGAUCUUGUUUUUCCUUGUUGAUUCUUGGCUCCUCUCUUAAGGUUUCAACUUCAUUCACUCUAGGGAGUGUUUUCCUUACCCUUGACAUGGCCAUUGUCCCCAUGGGACAUAAUCUCUUUUAAAUUUAGUGUAACUGUAAGUGUGUUUCUAGUUAAUCUCUUUUAUAAUAAAAAGCUGACCAAUUCAA